rnacentral:snRNA from 1 species
AUCUUUGCGCUUGGAGCAAUGACGCUGUUAGUGAGGUUCUAACCGAGGCAUGCCUAUUACUGGUUGAAAACUAUAUCCAAACCCCCUCUUCGGCUGGACUUGCCCUAGGCCAUUGAGAAUUUCUUGGAGACCCCCAUCAUAAGCUUUUCAGAGU